GAAGCGACGCGUGUGAAAACUCUGCUGAACUAUGCACCCAAUCUAACUCAAGAGUCAAUAGUUGCUUCUCUUUCGCUGUCGCGAUCCUGUCAUCCUCACUCUCUGUUCAAGUGCGACUUCUAACCAACAAUAUGACCAAAGCCAAGUAGCAGCAGGGGUGCAGCAGAAGAACAAGCUUUAGUAGCUUGCUGAUGGUGAUAUACAUAUGUAUAUAUGAAGGUACUUCAACUUUGAAAGAAUUCUGCUACCUCUGUUAUAGCAAAGGCAAGGAAAUGUCAACGACAAUGAGAAUUAAACAUAUUGAUCCCACCACUAUGCUGAAGCGGAGGCAUCGAGAUUUAUCUGAAAAAUUCUUAUCACAUGUCACAAUUUAGUUCCAGUCGAGGAGUCGAACAAGCAUGUCGAGAGAAAAAAAAAAACAAAGCCAAGAGGGAUCAGCUGUUAUUUUUCCCAAUGCGGUUGCUCCGACUCCAAAAUUAAUGACACAAAAUGAAAUGUGGAAAGUGAUGCUGUCAACAACACUUGUUGGAUUGGAUUGGAUUGGAUUGGAUUGAAGACACAAGCCACUGAGAGGACGGGUCGAGGGAAGGCCGUCUGCACCAUCAAUCUGCUAUCUGAGAUGGAGAUGCCAUUCGCAGUGAAAUUGAACAAGCGGCAGUACGACACGGGCACUGGCGAAAUGUCUGGCGUUAAUACGGCUAUUGCUUUGCUCGAUGCUGUUGCUGAAGCUCCCCUUUUCCUUUUCCGGGCGAGUGGCUAAUUGCCCAGUGAAGUGGCAGCUCCGGCUACAACAAAGCCAAACCGAGUUGUGCUCAGUUGGGCCCCUGAUGAUGACGACGACCAUCCACCGCAGCCGCGGCUAAAUUCUCAUUGUAAUUGUCAUCAUCGCAUUGAGUCUUCAUCUUUCACUGGGGGCGCAUCGUAUUGUUACUUAAAUGAUUUCUGUGUUGUUCAUUAUUGCAUCCGCAGUAAAAAUAAUGAAACAACGCAUUUGUUCAUUUCAGCUCACAGAACAAUUUAUAAAAUCCAAGUACAACAGGAGUGGGCGUGGACCUUAUAAUAUGAUAGUUCUUUUUUCAGAUUUCCCGUGGCAGUCAAAGUUAAGGUUCCUCUCCGUCAGAUCUUUACCCGCCUGUCGGAUUGAUGCACAAUUGGUGCUUGUCUGGUCCACCACUUGGUAAUUGGCAGCCAGGCGACCAGACCACCGAUCGAUAACAAUAAAAUUGUUAAAAGCGCAAAAUGCCGCAAAGAGUGUAAUUUGUCGAGCACAUGAACAGGGAGAGGAACGACCCAGGUCCAAAAACCAGGCGUAUUUGAAUUCAUCAAUGGCGUGUUUAAGCAGUUUGUCAGCGACACGUGGCAGAGCGGCUGUUGGCCUUUCGAGUUUGCUGGCAACAGCAGGCGGUGACGGUGACGUUGGCUGUGCUAAAGGAACGAUUACAAACGAGGAAGAGGAUAAGAACGAGGGCCGGGCCGUGUGUCGAUGCUGAUGAUGAUGUAAAACGUCAGUACUAUUCAAAAACAGCCACCACCACAACCCCACCCUCACGACUCACAGCUGGAUACGAGGUGCAGUAAAUAGAGAUUUAAACGCCCAUACUGGCUGGCUGGCCACUUUGCCGCUUGGCGUUGUCAACGCAACGCCACGCCACGGAGCGACAAUGGCUCAGUUGUAAUACCCAUUCGUUCCCACUCAUUGUUAUAAACUAAAUUGCUAAAAUUCGUAUACCGUACAGCACGGCUUGUAAAAAUCAAACGACGCCUUAACUUAAGGGUAUGCUUCUUUGAUUCGUCCUUUGGGAAUCGUCAUUUUUUUCCUCUCACAUUAGUACAUAGUUAACCCUUUAACAUCAAAAACUUACUGAAUCAAUAUUUUUCUUCAAAUUAUCACUUUCUUACUUGCGGUACCCUGAUUGUCGGCGCGGUACAGUUCUAAAUAAGAUAUUUUUAUACAGGGUAUAUUAUAUGUUUUUAAACACUUCAUCUUAGAGAAUU
rnacentral:sRNA from 1 species